rnacentral:sRNA from 1 species
GACCACGCCUCCAUGCGUCAAGGCCAUACGGACAGCCGGGUCCAAUGCCGA